GAGCCACUUGUUUGUGUAUAGCGUGUGCUAUCUGUGCUUGUAGGAUUGUUUGACUGCUUCCUGUGCAAGAUAGGAUUGUUUGACUUGCUUCCUGUGCAAGUUAGGAUUAGUUUAGACUUGCUUCCUGUGCAAGUAGGUUUUACUUGGCUUGCUCCCUGUGCAAGUUAAGUGUGUGUGUGGCUUGCUUCCUGUGUGAGCCAUGCUUAGGAUAGGAUGGCC
rnacentral:lncRNA from 1 species